UACGUAGGCAGCGAGCGUUGUUCGGAGUUACUGGGCGUAAAGAGUGCGUAGGCGGUUUUCUAAGUUUGGUGUGAAAUCUCCCGGCUUAACUGGGAGGGUGCGCCGAAGACUGGAAGGCUUGAGUAUGGGAGAGGUAAGCGGAAUUCCUGGUGUAGCGGUGAAAUGCGUAGAUAUCAGGAGGAACACCUGCGGUGUAGACGGCUUACUGGACCAUCACUGACGCUGAGGCACGAAAGCGUGGGUAGCGAACAGG
rnacentral:rRNA from 1 species